rnacentral:lncRNA from 1 species
ACUAAAUUGCUUACAUCUGUCUUGAGUUUGUCAAACAUUGUCACAUGCCAGCUUCCCUGUAGGGCGAUUGGUUGUGCAGAGAAGUAGCAGGUGGGGCAAUUCUGAAAUAUAUUUAGUCAAUUAUUUUGGGAAUGGUGCAUCCUAUUGAGGUGUGUGGAGAGAACCUUUUAUGUGUAAUUUUUAAUGCUCUUGAAGAAUAUAGUCUCACGUUUUUUGGAAAUUGCAAAGCGUCUAUCUUUUUUGAGAUAAAAUCCUCACCCGAGCUCUCAUAUCUCCAUCUCCACAAUCACUAUCAUAAUGGUCUGUAUGCCAAAUUAUUUCAAUCUUCCAACUAGUUCCCUGUGCCAAAUAUUAUAAAAAAUAAAAAAACCGUUUUCUUUAAAUAACACAAAGUAUAAUUUUGGAUGCCCCUUUCACAUCUUAUAAUUUUGAAACAAAG